UACGGAGGGUGCGAGCGUUAAUCGGAAUCAUUGGGCGUAAAGCGCGCGUAGGUGGCUUGAUAAGCCGGUUGUGAAAGCCCCUGGCUCAACCUGGGAACGGCAUCCGGAACUGUUAGGCUAGAGUGCAGGAGAGGAAGGUAGAAUUCCCGGUGUAGCGGUGAAAUGCGUAGAGAUCGGGAGGAAUACCAGUGGCGAAGGCGGCCUUCUGGACUGACACUGACACUGAGGUGCGAAAGUGUGGGGAGCAAACAGG
rnacentral:misc_RNA from 1 species